AGAGUUUGAUCCUGGCUCAGGAUGAACGCUAGCUACAGGCUUAACACAUGCGAGUCGAGGGGAAACGACAUCGAAAGCUUGCUUUUGAUGGGCGUCGACCGGCGCACGGGUGAGUAACGCGUAUCCAACCUGCCCAUCACUUGGGGAUAACCUUGCGAAAGUAAGACUAAUACCCAAUGACGUCUCUAGAAGACAUCUGAAAGAGAUUAAAGAUUUUAUCGGUGAUGGAUGGGGAUGCGUCUGAUUAGCUUGGUUGGCGGGGUAACGCCGACCAAGGCGACGAUCAGUAGGGGUUCUGAGAGGAACGGUCCCCACAUUGGAACUGAGACACGGUCCAAACUCCGUACGGGAGCA
rnacentral:rRNA from 1 species